rnacentral:rRNA from 1 species
GCAAGUCGAACGAGAAACCCGAGCUUGCUCGGGUGGACAGUGGCAGACGGCUUAGUAACGCGUGGGUAUCUACCUAGAGGUUUGGAACAACUAUUGGAAACGAUAGCUAAUACCAAAUAUUCCCUAAGGGGGAAAGAUUUAUCGCCUUUAGAUGAGCCCGCGUCGGAUUAGCAUGUUGGUAGGGUAAAGGCCUACCAAGGCAACGAUCCGUAGCUGGUCUGAGAGGAUGAUCAGCAAGAUUGGGACUGAGACACGGCCCAGACUCCUACGGGAGGCAGCAGUGGGGAAUAUUGCGCAAUGGGGGAAACCCUGACGCAGCGAUGCCGCGUGAGUGAAGAAGGCCUUAGGGUUGUAAAACUCUUUCACCGGUGAAGAUAAUGACGGUAGCCGGAGAAGAAGCCCCGGCUAACUCCGUGCCAGCAGCCGCGGUAAUACGGAGGGGGCUAACGUUGUUCGGAAUUACUGGGCGUAAAGCGCGCGUAGGCGGAUUAGACAGUUGAGGGUGAAAUCCCGGAGCUUAACUCCGGAACUGCCUUCAAUACUACUAAUCUUGAGUUCGGAAGAGGUGAGUGGAAUUCCUAGUGUAGAGGUGAAAUUCGUAGAUAUUAGGAAGAACAUCAGUGGCGAAGGCGACUCACUGGUCCGAUACUGACGCUGAGGUGCGAAAGCGUGGGGAGCAAACAGGAUUAGAUACC